UGUUCAUCGUUCCCGUUCCCGUUCCCCGAAUCUCUUCCUUCCCUAAACCUCUCUCCGCUCUCCGUGUUCCCAAAGAAAAUAUCAACAGUUAGCAUAGGUGCUAUUAUUGACCUCAUGGAUUUCAGAGUAAUUUCAGAGUAACUGAUUUGGGAUCUCUUUUGUUGUUUCUCACCAACAUAAAAAGCAGAAGACGAUCUCCAUAGGUGACCCUUUCUAAAGCGAGGGACUAAGUCAUUCUGAUUAUUUUAUUCUGCUAUUUUUUCUUCUUUGGGUAUCAAAUACCUUGGAACUUGAAGGUCUUAUAUGAUGAGUGAGUGAAUCCAAUACACCUGCUGGUGUAACUUCGACGGAAAUUGGUACCAACAACAACCGAAAGAAUGGGAAAGGGUUAUGAGCAAACUUGACAGGUUCACAAAUGGCUGCAAUUUGCAGGCUGUCCUGGAAGCCAUCAGCGUUCGCGCUUUCUGUUUAGGUAUAUCACCUCUACCCCUCUAAUUGGAGACAUAAACCAAGAAAUAAAAAUAAAAUAAGGCUCCUAGAUGAGUAUAAAAUAAUGGUCCAUUGUAAAUAGUAGUUAAAUAAAAAAUCACUGAUUAAUAGUCAAUAGUUUAUCUUUGCAUUUUUCAUUGCAUCAGGUAGAAAAUCUAAUGGGUGUGAAGAGAGGGGUAUUCUCCUUGGCUAGAACUAGAACUUACAAGAUACUCGAUUAGUGUUACUUUUGCACUACAUAAAAGCCAACCAUUUCGCUUUAAGAUAUUGCAGCUGCAGGGGUCUAGCAUUAAACACUUACAAUUUGUUUGAUCAGGAAAAAAGGAUUUUAUUCUUGCGCAAAUGCAUAAAGGAGUACCUAAAAAUGUUAUUUGUACAUGUGAUGCACUCCUCUACGAGAGUGACAUCAAUUGUGUUGACAGGUUCAAUGUCUCUGAUGCCAAGUUUGAAUCCAGUCUGCAAACAAUGAACAACGGUUAGAUCAAGUGGGAUACCUUGGUUACAAUAUACUAAUUCUAUUCCAAGCCAGGCGUUACUCUGAGUAGUUCAGGUAUAGUUAUCCGAGCAGUUCAGGUACUUACAAUAGACGUCUUAGCUGAACUACUCUGCUUUUGGGAACCUAAACAACUGCUAUAUUCAAUUACAGGCAACUAUAUUGAGGACUUGCGUAUAUUUAUACUGCUAUAUUUAAAACUUUUCUUUUUUUCGCCAAAAUAAACUGAAAGAGGAUAUUGGCAUUUACGAUUUUGAUAAAGAGAUCAUUUGAACAUGAAUAUGGAUACUUCCUUCCCAUAUGAUUGUAGAUACUUUGUGAUUAUGAAAUUUUGUUACUCUCCUGCAACAUAAGUAUGGAUACUUUAACUUGACAUUGGCAUCUAUAAUUUUGAUGUUUUCACCAUUAGUUCAUACAUCCGGUUGAGGAUUAACACGAAAAAUAAUUGGAGAUCACAGAACCAGUAGUGAAGAAGAACUCUUCCUUGAAAACAAAGAGAAAAAAAAUGAAAUUUCUCCUUGAAUUUGUAAUGUGUUCCCCUGUUUUUACGCUGAUUUCAAGUUCGAAAGUAUGAAUUUUGGAUUGUGUUGAUUUCAUGUCUUCUCCAUUCUUUUGUUGGGAAAAAAUGAACUGUAUUAAGCAUACAACGGUUGUGGAAAUGGCUUGAGAGAACUAGAUUAUGUGGUUGCACUCUCCCUUCUUUUCUGUUCAUCAAAUCUGUCUUACGGCGCCUGGCAAGUCGGGUAUCUAUGGGAAACAAUACAGCGCGAAGAAGCCAGCCAUAUUCUAUGCCUAUCUUGCCGUUUGGCCUCUUCCUUUACUGUUCUACUAACAAUGACCAAGAUUCAUAAGUAUCCGCAUUUACAGGACCGAUACUAUGGACCAUCUAUGGGAAACAAUACAGCGCGAAGAAGCCAGCCAUAUUCUAUGCCUAUCUUGCCGUUUGGCCUCUUCCUUUACUGUUCUACUAACAAUGACCAAGAUUCAUAAGUAUCCGCAUUUACAGGACCGAUACUAUGGACCAUCUUUGGGGUAAAGCUCAGUUUAUUUGACAGAAGUCCUUCCGGGGUGUCAAAAUCCUGCAACCUUGCUAGCAUCAAGGGGGUGAACACGAAUGCCGACGAUUAUGGUAUUCAGUCGGUAAAAAAUAAUUAGCAUGCCACAUAUUUUAAGUUCUUCUAUAAUAGUUUAACACCUCAUCUGCAGCUGCAAUUUGCUUGGUUGGCAAACCAUUUAAUGUUUCUCCAAAUAGCACAUAGGCAGGAGAACUUAAAUUGGAAUCUAAUUGUUUUACACUUUUACUUCACGUGUUGUGCUCUGGAGUUAUAGAAUGGCUGAAUAAAACAAUAUCAGAAGAGGCAUCGUGGCCCACAAGGAUAUGGUGCUCGAUGUGUAUUUGCGUGAAAAUAGAAAUGAGUUGGAAUCCUUGGCUGAAAAAAUAAGUUUACAGGCACAACAACAUUGCAAUGUAUUGUUGGUGGUGUUUGGUAUCUUCUGUGAAUUCACACUGCCAUAGGGUACUUGCAUGUUUUUGCAUGUCGAAAUUAAUUCUUUUCGGUUAUGUCAGGAUAUUGCCACUGCUAAUCAUAUAACCUUUACGCUCAUGUUAUUCAGUCAGAGAGGAGUGGUGUACCAAUUACUCAUGUUAUUUGAUUCUAUGUUCUCAUAUAUUCAUCCUUGCAUUUUAUUGAAUUUGCACCUCAGCUGUCAGACAAGUCCUUCGAGCAAGGUCAGUUUUUCCACCUCUAUUGUUAUUUACACGAACUUUCUUUACUCUUUGCAUAGCUUUUAUUAGCCUUUUCUGAAUGAUAGUUGUGGUUUUCUUUAACUGUUGAAUGUAAAAGUGCGCAAAUGAGGAAAUUCUAUUGGUAAAUGGUAAUGUGCGUCUAAAUACUUCGUUGAUGUUAACACCAUGGAGAUCUGGUGCCCAGAAGAAAUCCUUUUUUGUUUGAUUUUGUUAUUGUUUUCCCUCAUUUUAUUUGUAUCAAUAUUCAAAAUAAUGAGGAGAUGAUUAGGUAAAUUCCUUAUGUGUUUGGUCGUCAAACUAAUGGCACAAUAGUAUUAGCUCUAGGAACGCCAGUAUCUAUCAUGAUAUGAACUUUCGAAUGUGUACGACAAACCCAUGAAGAAUCUUACAGGGCCUUUCAUAACGAGCAAAUCGGUUCAUGUUUUAGCAAAUGUUUGUGUCACACUUCUUCGACUUGAACCAAAAUUAGCCAACCGAAUUGCAAACGUAGUUGAUAUAAUAGUAUGUUAAAAAGAAAUAUAUGUAUCACAUAUAGCAGUUUGAUGAUACUCACCAACUGCCAAAGGAUAUUGAAUAACUGAUUUGGGUCUCUUUGCUGGAGCAUCAAGUUUCUUCUCAUGGAAUUUCAUAUUUGAGCUCAACAAAUUGGCCUUAAUUUUCUCCAUUUAUCGUAACCAAUGUGCUCAAUGGUUGAAGCAGGUGAAUCAGACAGCGGAGCCCCUGCAUCAACGUAUCUGGAUCAAAUGAUGGUUUUCAACCAAGGACUAAUCCGUGGAAGGCUUGGUAACAUAUCUGCAUCAACGUAUCUGGAUCAGAUGAUGGUUUUCAACCAAGGACUAAUCCGUGGAAGGCUUGGUAACAUAUGUCUUGCAUUUGCUUCGUUGUUGACUUUUUCUUACCAAAAUUAUACUCUCAAUAGCCAAGGUAUGCCAAAUUGCCUUUUACAAGUGUGGUUGUCGGGUAUAGUUAACUCCCCAUAGAUGAUUUUUUCUUUGCAUCUUUUAGAUAUAGGGAACCUGUUUCCUUAUAAAUUUAUUUUUGUAUCAAAUAUGUUCAACUUCCAAGACCAUCCAUAAAGCCACGUCAUUUUAUUCAUUGUAAUGGAUCAAAAUUGCUCGAUUGGUAUGAACUGUUGAUUGUGAACUUAAUUUUCCUAAAUGAAAUUGCCAAGUAUCGAUAAGUUUAUUGUGAUGCGAAGACUGAUUUUUUGAUGUUGAAUAUUAAAGUCAUAAUGAAUUUUUGUUAUGUGAAAAUUCUACAAUAUAGUGACCCAAGAUGAUGUAUGAUUAUAAAUCUCAUCUCUUUAUCGGAGCUCAUUCAGUUUCCAUGUAUUGCCACUUGCCAUCUUAGCUCAGCUGGAAGAGCACGUGGUUUUGAACCAUGUAGUUGUGGAUUCGAUUCCCACAGAUGGCGGAGGGACCCUGUGGUUGUACGCAUAUUUUGGUGCAACUAAUCUAACGUGGUUCUUUUUGCAGUACCAAAUCUUAUUACUUAUCGCACUUAUAUUGAAGUAGACUUCACUGGAGAUUAACAGGUCUCUAGGUAGCCAACUGAGGUAGUUCACUGUCUCUGCAGAUCAAUUAUGGUAUUUUUAUUCCUUUUACCAAGACACUUAUACUUCUUAUUUAUCAAGGUUCACGGGUGCUUCAUUACACGUCUAAGGUUCGAAUUGAGGCAUCUUGGAUUGUUUUCAUAGGUACUCAAAUGUUUUCGUAGGUACUCAAAUGUUUUUGUUUUUAAUCCUUUAGAGGUAAAAAUUUCUAUGUUGGGUUCUCAAAGACCGUGGGCAUGACUGCCCAUUAGGAACCUAUUAUCAGCAGAAAUUCUGCAAACUCUAUGCAUUAAGACUGAAUAUUACUCCCUCCGUUUCUGAAAAAGAGAUUCUUUCACUUUUUUAUUUUAGCCUAAAAAUAGGCCAAAUUGAAAAAGUGAAAGUAUCUCUUUUCCAAAAACAGAGAGAGUACUUUUUUGCAAGGUUUUCAAGGUAUUACCGAGUGUAAGCUUUUUAAACUGUUUGCGCAAUAAGUAAAUGAUUAACCUAACCUGGAAUUAAGACUCAUGCAUGGACAUAGUAUGCUAUGGUGGUCAUUGAUAGUAAUUGUUCAUAACUUUUUCAGAUUGAAAAUUUUGUUAUGUGUAUAUUAUGCAUAAACUUUUGAUACAUAAUUCAUAAAACUCCAGUUAGGAGAACUUUACUCGCAGGUACUAUCUGUUUUUUUAGCCAAGUCUACAUGUUUCUAGCCUAUGCUUCUUUGUGGUAUUUGGUUGUUUGUUGACAAGAGCAUUUAGCUAAUGGUAAUUGUUGUCUCCGUUGUAUAUAUAUUUCAUAUGUACAAUAUUGCACAUAGGACAGUAUCUACGUUCAAAAUCGACGCAGUAGUCUCUUGGUUGGUAAUUUCCAAAAAAAAAUCAAAAAUCUAGCCUAACUUAAUACUAACAAUUCUCGUGAUUCCAAUUCAAGGAAGCAACAUACUUCAAUGUUUAAAUUGUGAAUUGUUGUUCCUCAUAUAUUAUACCAGAUCAGUAUUGCUGAGAAAUCUUCUUCCAUGUCUUAACUUGAUCAGCGAGACUAGCCAUAUUUACAUCUUUGUUUUUGCUGGACUAUGAAUCAUAAAAAACGAACAGGGAGUUUCGUAGAAAACAAUACUUCCUUGAUGUUUUUAGGUAUGCUUAAGAAGUAACCCGACCAACUAUAGAUAUAAUUGCUCUUUGUUACUAUACAGUUAUGCUUAGUCUUGCAUUCUAUAUACUACCAUUCUGAAUUUGGUGGCAGACAAACUGUUUACUUCCUUAUUGUCCCGAAGUUUGUGUUUGUAUUCACAUUUUUUGUGAUAUUUGAGGUUUAUUCACAGCUUUAACCGACGUUGUUUUAAAGCCAGAGUAGCGAUCACGAAGAGGCAACUGCCACUAUCAUGGUUUACAUGGAAUAUAUGAUUUACAACUUUGAUCUUAAGAACCUAAAAGAAUGAGAAAAAGAGUUUUCUAACACAUCGAUUGUUCCUUCCAUAUUUGUUAAUGGACUGUGAAAUUGGGCUAAAUGAUGGAGAUGAAGCUUUUUUGUCAAUUUUCUAGAGCUUUGAUACAACAGUGGAAUAACACGAUAGUUUCAGUUGGUGGGGUAAUUUGAUUAAUUUUGGAGAGUUAUUAAUGAUUAUGGAUGUGGUAAAUCUGAAACUGCAUGGUGUGAAGGUGGUGCAACCUCUAGAUUAACAUUAUGAGAACAAAAACUCUAAUUUUGUGGGGCUCAUUUGAUUGUCAGAAAACAUUGGAGCUAGCUGGAAUUUCCUAAGCUUUAGAAAGGGUUAAAAGUUUACAUCAAACUCGAGAAAUACUUUUGUACCAGUAUUAAUGGCAAGCUGAUUUUCUUCUUCAUCCUAUCUUGCAGCUAAAGAUGGAAAAUCUUCUUACUUACUGAAAGGAGAGGAACAAGAAAGUAAUGAGUUGAUAGUAAAUCAAGUGACCUGGGUUCGUACCAAGACAGUAAAAGGUACCAAAACCCCUCAUCCUUUAAAAGGUACCAUAACUUUUAUUUUUCUAUAUUUUUUUUGUCAGUGUUUCGGGUCUUGGUGAUGGUAGUGGUAGUGGUGGAUAUGAAGGGAACAAUUGUUAUUCUUCAUCAAGUUAAAGAGAAAAAGUUAGGAUGGUUCACCAAAUAAGUUCGAUUCAGAUAAAAUUAAACCCAUUUUGAGAACAAAGUUUAUGUUGAAUCUCCUUUUGUGGCAUCAAUGAAAGAAAAUGAAGUUGAAGAAUAUGUCUUAAGAGACUACAGUCAGAAGCAAAGAUGUUACUAAGAGAGAAGCUAAAUCAUAUUGCAGUUCAUGUAUAUAAAUACAUUUGUAAAAAUUGAUCUUUAUCCUGUCUUAUGUAGGCGCGGCUUGCCUAUUAGUAAGCGGAUGAUAACACAACCAAUGUAGGUUGUGGAAGCUCACUAAUGUGCUCUUUCUUUUGUGCAGGACCCAAGUCAUACAACAUCGAUUGGUUUAAUUUAAGACUGGAUGCUCUAAUGGUUAUUAGGUCAAACCAAGUUUCUCGAGCUGAACUGAAUAUCAUUUAUAUACUAUAUCAUGCUGAUUAAGUAAAAUAAAUAGUCCUCUAUGGUGAACUGAGCAUCUUAGAAUCGAUUCAACUAUAAGUAGACGUGCAACACUGUCCUCCUUCUCUGUUUUCUAAUUAUUUAUUCUAUUGAUUUCAUUACAGAAAGGUUGUUGAGAAUCAAAUCGGAAAAAAGAUGGUUAUUGAUGACUGCAAUGCUAACAACCUGUUUAUGUAUUUGGAUGCAAAGAUUCAGUUUUGCAAAUCCAAGGUUUGUGUUGCUUUAAAACCUUUAUAUUACUUCCCUUAUAGGCUAGAAUAUAUAUUUAGUAAGGUUUUGACAGUCAUAAUAUGCAACACAUCUUUACUGAAUGGCUUGACAGAGUCCUUUUUGUUAACCGAGUUUUGACAGUCAUAAUAUGCAACACAUCUUUACUGAAUGGCUUGACAGAGUCCUUUUCGUUAACCGAGUUUUAGAUUCCAAUAACAAAGAGUCUACAAACGAAAUUCAUGAAGCGCAUUGAGCUUUGAACUAAAGUUGUCUAUGCAUACAAAUCUGAACUUGAUUUUCCGUACCUGGCUUAUCCAUGGACUCGAAUAAGUUUCCAGGUGACAAAAUUUGGUUCCAAGUACAAGUACUUUCCUCUAAGGUUACGAUGUAUUAAAAUGCGUAACUGCUUUUCUAUCCCUAACAUUUGUUUCGAUAACUCUAUUUGUUUCGAUGUGGUACUCUUUGAUUGGAA